rnacentral:tRNA from 2 species
UAAAUUGAAGCCAGUUGUUUAGGGUAUUUAGCUGUUAACUAAAAUUUCGUGGGAUGAAAGCCCACCAAUCUAG